AGAAUUUGGAACUUCUAAGCCUCAGUUCAUGUACUGACUUGGAAGCUAUACCGACUUCCAUUGGAAAGCUGUUAAAUCUAAAACAUCUUGACAUUUCAAACUGCAUCAGCCUUUCAAGUUUACCUGAGGAAUUUGGUAAUUUGUGCAAUCUAAAGAAUCUGGACAUGGCAAGUUGUGCAAGUAUUGAAUUGCCAUUCUCAGUUGUCAAUCUUCAGAAUUUGAAGACGAUAACCUGCGAUGAAGAGACGGCUGCUACAUGGGAAGAUUUCCAGCAUAUGCUUCCCAAUAUGAAGAUAGAGGUUCUUCAUGUUGAUGUUAACUUAAAUUGGCUUCUUUGAAUGACUUUUGUAUAGCAUAUAAUUAAAAUUCUUUUGUAAUAUUUUGUAAUUUCUUUUUGUAUAAAUACAUGAUUUGUAUUAGCUAUUCUCAAUCAAUAAAUUCAAUUUUUAAUUUUUUUAUCAGCUCAUUCUAUUGAUUUAUUUACAUUCUAAUAAGGUGGUAGUAAAUCCUUCUAUGCUUCUCCAACUCUAAAAAGCUUUUUGUAGUCCUUUGGUUCCCUGUUUCUGAGUUCUUCAAUCAUAGAUCAAAGUCGGCAAGAAGCAGUUGAUCCUCAAAAUUUGUCAAGCAUGGUCUUUGUUGCUUUCCAUUGAAUGGAUCAAAAUAUAUAAAUACACACUCACAGUUCCUUUUGUUGGUGAGUCUUUUACUAAAAUAACGAACAACCACUUCGAGUAUUUCCCCUUCCAAAUUUGCCUAUGGAUUAUAGAUAUUGGUGUCACCUUUUUUCCUUAAAUAUUGAACUCUGUGCAUUGGACCUAUAAAGGUGAUAUCAAUUUUUAUUGCAUAUAAAUAAAUCAAAUUUCAUUUUUAGUCCUUAAAAAGGUGAUUUUUCAACAUAUCCUUAAACUAUCCUUAAAUUUCAUUUUUAUUCCCGACUAAAUUCAAAUUUAUUUAACUUAUCCUUAAACUUUUAAAUUUUUGGUCUUCAAACUAUUUUUCAAUAUAUCAACCAAUUGGUCUUCAGACUUGACAAAAUAUGUGGUGAUUUCAUCUGGAAGUACCUUGUCUAUUACAUAAUGACAUCCAUCUCUAUUUGGUUCGUUCAUGGAAAAUUGGAUGCAUUGAUGAGUGCAAUUUGAAAACAUGUCUUAUCAUAUUUAUUAAAUGAUGUGGCAAUACAUGAUUGGAUGCAAUGUAACAUAGUGUAACACAACUAUAUAAGGAUGACACAUACAAAUUAACGUUACACCCUAUUUAUAGUCGUGCCUUGUCUUAGCUUUUCUGGUCUUGACGUGCAUUACAUGUACAUUGACGAAUCUUCAAAUCUCAAUUUGAGAGUGUCAAACAUAAUUCUCAAUUUGUGCAUAUGUAUGAGAAUAACUUCCCAACUUCUUGGAAAAUUAUCAUAAACUUGUUCAAUGUUAACUUUACUCUAAAUUUUGUCGGUAUGUCCUUAACUUGUUCAAUGUUAUAUAUGUUAAGUCAAGUGUACAAACUUCAAGAGGACUUUAAAGCAGAAUUGCUAGGAAAAAUAUUUGAAAGAGAAUAAAGGAUGUUAACCGCCGUUUGGUUCAAGUUAUGGGAUAAAAAAUCAUGUGACUACAAGAAUAUUGCCAUAUACUACGGAUGUUUAUAGCGACGGAUGGAAAACUGUAGGUAUUGAUGUUUUACCUACGGAAGUGGCCGUAGGUAUAGACAUCUAAAAUAAUAAAAUAAAAAAUAUCAAAAUAAUGCAGCGAGCGCGUAAUGAAAUUGUGGACUGUGAAAAACCCCACCUUUUCCCAACUCUAAAUUGCAAAAUGAUAAAAAUAAAACUAAUAAAAAUAAAAUAGAACCCCAACUGGCCAACUCCAUUCUUCACGUUUGUACCGGGCACACUGUAAUAAUAAGUAAGAGCUAUUGUAAUGAAAUGUGAUUUUAUUUGUAGGGUAUCUUUCAAGGAGAAUUUGUAGGUUUGGGGAGUUAUUUGUGGAAAAUGUAAAGGUAUAAUAGUGGAAAAAAUAACAAAUGUUGUAUUGUUAUUUUACGGUGACAAUUAUACAAAAAGAAAAUUCUAAAGAAACAAUUAUUUUAAGACGGAAGGAGGUAUUUGACUAAAAAUUUGUAUCAAAAUAUAAAUCUCUUUUUUAAAUUAUUAAAUAUAUUUAUCGUUUCCUUUUCAAAUAAACUCCUAAUUGAUACCACUGGGUGUUUUGAAAUAUGAUAACUUACACUUUACUACAUAUACAUAUAUACAAAUGAUAUUUUAGAUAAAUUUAUACAUAAAAUGAACAUAUUAACUACACUACCAAAUAUAUUUUAUAAGAGUUAAAAAAAAAAAAAAAAAUUAUAUAUAAGGAUGGAGGAAGUAUAUGACUUUAACCUUUAAUUUCAUCAAAAGUAGUUCGGAAUUAUUGGAAGACAAGGUCACGAGAUUCAUGCUUGAAUUCCAUAGCAGCAUAGACCAUGGCUUCCCGAUAUUUUUGGUUUCUACAUUUUUUGUGUGAAUUUAUAAUAGGUUUUUUACUCAACUUAUUGAGUUUUAAACACUUAAGUUUCUACUGUUUUUUUUUUUUUUUUUUUGUGUGGGCACAAUACUAUUAAAAACUUUUUAAUUAAUCAACUAAAAUAUAAAACAAGCAUGAGCAUAAGUUUGUUAUAAAAUUAUAAAAACAAUGCUAUCCAACAAAUGGAAGAUGAUUUUCUCAGAUUACUUGAUCGUCUAUAUGAUAAUAAUUGAUGAUUUUAACUUUAUUUUUUUGGAUAAAUCAGGAGAAAGGACAUACAUCAAAAGGUAGCACCGACAUCCUAAUUAGAUUGACAUCCCGAUGAAACUCCAUCCUAAGACGCCAUGCUCAAUUUUUUAUUUUAAAAAGGGGGAAGAGUAUAUAAAAGGGGAGGAGACCAAAAACCCUCAAAACAAGAAAGAAAAAGGAAAAGAAAAUCAACAAACUAGGGGAAUCUGUAAUUAGACAGACCACAUCUGUCGUGAAAGAAAUCAAAGUUCAAUUCUGAAGGUAAAGCCGUCAACCAAACUGAACCAUGUAGUGCAUAUCCCAUAUUAGUCAACUUGUCUUCCCGAUAAAAGUCCCCCAUGAACAACCAAGGCCUCUCUUAUAUUCCAAUAGAAAAAAAUUCAUUGGGCAGAUGGCGAGGGCUCUCGCGUAAAACAGGUUCUAUACGGCGGCUUUCUAUAAAUUGUUGUUUCUUUAAAUUUUCUUUUUUCUUUUUUGACAAGAGGAGAGUGACGGGAGCUUCAUAUCAUGUUGAAUCCUUGGAUUAUUGUGCUGCACAAUACCAACUUCAUGCGUGGCUAAUGAACUUGCAGUCAGAGCCAAGCUAGACACAAUGGCCACAACUGCUGGUACUACAUCAUCUGUCAGCAAGAGUUCAUCUGUCAGCAAGAGUUGUGUGCCUAUGUUGCUGUCCACGGGAACCAAGUCUGCAACAAAGGCAGGGAUUACUGGGAUGGGGUCUGGAACCGAAGUAAUGAGACAAGUUGGUGUAACUGAACCAUCCAACGGGGUUGUAGGGACUGUGUGCACCACAAUAUUGUGUGGAUGCACAACUGUGGAUGAGGGAAUGUCUUUAGAAGAGGCAGUGACUUCCUCGUGCACUACAAUGUUCAGCACUGCCGAAGAGCUCACCUCCCUAACCGAAUCCAAGGUAGCACCAUCAAAAUUCUCAUGCACGUCAACGUGCUCUACAUAAGUCAAAAGCGGAGCAGCAGCGACAAGAAGCUUUGGAACACUUUCCUCCUAAGAUUCCUGAUGCGUUCUCUCUACUUCAAGAGGGUCCACGUCAUCGUGCACAACACCGGUAACCAAUUCCAAAACGGGGAUAGCUGAUUGAGGUAACACGCCCUGAGGAGUUGCAUCAGAAACAUUUUGCAAAGCAAAGCUGAAAGAGCUGCUCGAAACAUCCUUAGGAAGAGCAAUGUUUUUAGUUGUAGACCGUUUUGGUGUAUCUAUGAUAGUAGCUGAAGCUGAAGGGUCUGCAACAUCAACAUAUUGCAUGGUACCUGAAGUAGAAGUACCUCUAUCACUACGGUACUGCCAAGGAGAAGGUUUCUUAGUAAGUGGUUCAGCCGCCAUAGGUUUCUUUCCAUGGUCAGUCACCUUAGUUGCCGGGUGCAACCACUUGCAAGUCGAAACAUUAUGUCCAAUGACAUAACAGUGAUGGCAAAAGAGCGGUCUCCUUUCAUAUUGUACUUCAACCUUAAAGGCAAAACCUUCCCGUUCCACAAGAAUUUCAUCAUAGGCUCUUUUAGAUAAGUCAAUGUCCACCAAAAUUUGUCGCAUAGUAUCUGAAAGCCCUAUUUCAUGUCGAGGCAUCCAAAUCUAUCAUAGUACCGACAACACUCGCAAUUUCCUUCGAAGCUCGUUCCCACCAUUGAUCAUUCUAAUAUUUAUCAUUCUAAUGAUGGGUACUAUUUUUUUUUAGAUGUGUUAUUUGAACAAUCCUUUGGUUGACAACUUAUUUGACAACUUAGUUUUACAAAGAAAAAAUAGGUAUUAACACGAAAACCAAAACAAAGAUAAGUAAAACAUAAUGUGAAUACGAGAGAGAAAGUUGUCAAAAAAAUUGUCACAAAUUCAUUUUUACACAUAUCAUUUAUCUUUUUUUUCUUUUCUUAAGGAAGCUAUUUUUUAUUGUUGAUAAUGGUCGUUUGUUUGGAUAAGACUGAGAUAUUGAUUCAUGCAAUAUUGAACUGCUAUGUUUGGAUAAGACUGAGAUAUAUAUUCCCAUUUAAAAGUGUUUUGUUUAACCAACACAUUAGCUUAUCCACUGGAAUAACCUUCACUUUAAAAAAACCUUAAUUAUUCUAAUGGUUGCUGGAAUAUGGUAACCACUCUGGCUACACAAUCGCACAUAGAAAUUGGUAGAGGAAUUACUGGGGUUAUUUUCCAGGAACAUUUUCGUUAAUUACCAUUAAUUAUUCUUAUGGAAGAGUACAUUUUCUACAAAUUCUACUUUCGAAAAUGCCAAACAACAAACACAUGAUUUUUUAUUGGGUUAAUAAUAGUGUUUUAACCCCUGUAAUUUAGGUCAUUUUCUAUUUUACCCUCUGUAAAAGUUUUUUUUUUUGGAUUUCUUCCUUGUAAUUUGAAAUUUUUUGAUUUUGGACCUUCAUCAAUUUUGACCGUACAAAAUCGAAGAUAUGAGGGGUAAACUGAAAUUUGCUCAAAUUACAAUGAAGGUAAACCUAAAUUUGCUCAAAUUACAAGCGGUGAAAUUUUUCAUGAAGAUCCAAAACCAAAAUUCCAUAACUUGAACCAAACACCGGUUAAUGUCCAAGUAUCCUUUAAAUAAUAAUACAUUUAAAUAAUUUAUAACUCAUUUUUUACCAAGUUGUACUUUUCUUUGCAGACCAAACCAAACGUGUGGAAUAUUUAAGGGGAAACAAUAGCGAAAAUUGUACGCAAUGUGACGGAAAGAGACAGAAGAAAGCAAUGAUUUUUCCUUUAAGGGGUAAACGAAACUAUAAAUACCAAGUUUUACACAUCAAAAGUUUCAAUUUCAAAACAUCGUACUACAACAACAAUUGUUAAGGUUCGAUAUACUAUACUACAAACAACAUCGUACUUUUCAUCUUCUAAACAUACUCACGCAACCAACAUUGAAUUUUUCAGCCUUUCAUAACUUGCAUUGUGUUUGUUAUUAGAUUACAACAAAGGAAGGAACAAAUUCAUGAGUAGCGCUACACACAUUAUUACCCUUACAACAAGAUUUCAAUUUCAUGAUGUCUUGAACAAAAUAUCUCAAAUACUUCAAAAAGCACGAAAGGAUUUAUCUCCUGUGGUUCAAGACAUAAAGCAAUACAAUGAUCAUUUGGAUCACCCCAGAGAGGAAAUAAAUAGUCUAAUAGAAGAAAAUGAUGCAGGAGAAAGUGCAUGCAAAUGUUCUUCUGAGAAUGAUUCCUAUGUUGUUGAUGAGAACCAAUCUCUUAUUGUAAAUGAUGUUGAAGAAACACUUUAUAAGCCAAGAGAAAUUCUUGAGCUUCUCAACCACGAAAAUCGGCCUCGUGACUUGUGGCGAAAGAUAGGGAAAGAACUAGCACAAGGUCAUUCUCUUCUUGAUUCUAAUACCAAAUUACUUAUUCGCCUCCAAAAGAUCUUUGAUGUUUUGGAAGAUAAUCCUACAAUCAUGGAGUGCUUCAUGGACAUAGCCUUAUUUCCCGAAGACCAUAGAAUUCCUGUCGCUGCUCUCGUUGAUAUGUGGGCAGAGCUGUAUAGACUAGAUGACAACGGAAUACAAGCAAUGGAAAUCAUCAACAAAUUAGGCAUCAUGAAUUUGGCUAAUGUCAUAAUACCAAGGUACUACGACUAUUAUUAUUAUUAUUAUAUUUUCUUCUAGGCUACUUAAAUUGUUAAAUAUCUCACAUGAAUGAUACUCUACAUAAAUCCUGUCAAAUAAUUUUUUAUCUUUUAAGUAACUAAUUAACCUCUGCUCAUUUACCAGGAAAAAUGCAAGUGACACGGACGAUAACAACUACAAUAAUCACUUCAUCAUCCUUCAUGAUAUUCUAAGAGAACUUGGAAUUUACCAAAGCACCAAGGAACCAUUUGAGCAAAGAAAAAGACUGAUUAUUGACAUUAAUAAAAAUAAAAGUGGGCUCGCGGAGAAGCAGCAAGGCUUGAUGACCUGUAUAUUGUCAAAGUUUAUGAGAUUGUGUGUUAAACGGAAUCCUCAACAGCUCACUGCCCGUAUAUUGUCGGUAUCAGCUGGUUAGUAAUACUUAUACUCCCUUUUUCUAACUUUGACCAUCUAAAAAAUGCUAUUGAAAUUUUUUUGCAAUCUGUUAUUCAUUCCUUUUCCGCAAUUGAUCGCUUGAUUUUCACAUUUGCAGAUGAAACAUGUGCGUUCGAUUGGUCUCAAAUGCAACCAGCUCAGGUCGAGGUUCUGAUUUUAAAUAUUCAUACCAAGCAGUACUCAUUACCCGAGUGGAUUGCAAAAAUGAGUAAACUAAGAGUUCUGAUAAUCACAAACUACGGUUUCCAUCCUUCUAAACUGAACAACAUUGAGCUUCUCGGUUCUUUACAGAACCUGGAAAGAAUCAGACUAGAGCGAAUUUCGGUCCCUUCCUUCGGCACAUUGAAGAAUUUGAAAAAACUAUCUCUCUACAUGUGUAACACAAUACUGGCUUUUGAAAAGGGUAGCAUCCUAAUUUCAGAUGCAUUUGCAAACCUAGAAGAAUUGAACAUUGAUUACUGCAAAGAUUUGGUGGUAUUUCCAACUGGUAUCUGUGAUAUCAUCUCACUAAAGAAGCUCAAUGUUACUAAUUGCCACAAGCUUUUUUCACUUCCCCAAGAUAUUGGAAAAUUGGAGAAUUUGGAACUUCUAAGCCUCAGUUCAUGUACUGACUUGGAAGCUAUACCGACUUCCAUUGGAAAGCUGUUAAAUCUAAGACAUCUUGACAUUUCAAACUGCAUCAGCCUUUCAAGUUUACCUGAGGAAUUUGGUAAUCUUUGCAAUCUAAGAAAUCUGUACAUGGCAAGUUGUGCAGGUAUUGAAUUGCCAUUCUCAGUUUUCAAUCUUCAGAAUUUGAAGACGAUAACCUGCGAUGAAGAGACGGCUGCUACAUGGGAAGAUUUUCAGCAUAUGCUUCCCAAUAUGAAGAUAGAGGUUCUUCAUGUUGAUGUUAACUUAAAUUGGCUUCUUUGAAUGACUUUUGUAUAGCAUAUAAUUAAAAUUCUUUUGUAAUAUUUUGUAAUUUCUUUUGUAUAAAUACAUGAUUUGUAUUAGCUAUUCUCAAUCAAUAUAUUCAAUUUUUAAUUUUAACUACUCAUUCUAAUGAUUUAUUUACAAGAUAAUAAGCUGGUAGUAUGCUUCUCCAGUUCUAAAAAGUUUUUCGUAGUCCUUAGGUUCCUUUUUUUUUGUUCCUUGUUUCUGAGUUCUUCAGUCAUAGAUCAAAGUCGGCUAGAAGCAGUUGAUCCUCAAAAUUUUCCAAGCAUGGUCUUAUUUGCUUUCCAUUGAAUGGAUCAAAAUACAACGAAGAAGGUGCUGCUUUCAAAGAACAAUGUGAAGUUUGUUAAUGGAGAUAUUUGAAAAUUAAAGCGCACUUGUUUUAAUUAGUUCUGUAAGAUGUUUCAACGUUUAUAACGUUCCCUUAAAUGUUCCAACAUCACGAAAUAAACAGAAAUCAAAACAAGAAAAUAAAUGACAAGAAAGUAAAGAACACUGUGAGUUUGUUGACCCAGUUCGGUAACAAACUCACCUACUCUGGGGGCUACCACGUCAGGAAGGAAAUCAACUAGUGUAGUCCGUAUUCUAUAGGACUCAACAAACUCCUUGUUUACUCGUAUAUACUUCAACCUAGGAACUCCUAGAUCUGAGAUCCCAUCUCUAUCUUAUGUUCAGUCACAGCCCCUGUGACCUAUCAGACCUAAGCACAAACUCAAGGAUGAAGUUAUCUUUAAACACAACAACUAACACCUUGCUUACAAGGUUUGGUGUAGUACACAAAAGUAUCAAACUCAACACACAGUCCUAAACAUGUAUCACAGACGAUACGAGAAAGGCUCACAAUAAAGGUUCUAAACUUGCAUCAGCAGGAUACAAGAGUAGAGCACAUGUAGACUCAAAAUCUUAAAAAUCUAAACUUUUAGAAUGACGGCUUGAAUAGUUCAUUAGGUCUUGAAGUCUCACUUAUAUUAUACUGAAGCAGCUCGGGUCAAAUACUUUAGUUGGGCUUCAGAACAAAGCAGAUCGGUUCAGCUAAUCUGCAAAACAGAAUCAGAGACAAAUAUGUAAAGUCCUAAAAUGUCGCUAGGAUCGUCCAAAUCAAUAACAAAUUUUUCCUAAAAAAUAAAUACUACUUUAGGAAUAUUCCACGACUGAUUCUGUAAAGAUAUGCGCGUUGCUUGAUCAAUAAGAUAAGGAAAUAUUGUUUCCUUAAACAAUAAAGGGCGCGCGUACAAAGAGACAUGACCUCAGGCACACUGAACUGUGCCAGGAUGUUGGAACAUAAUAUCCAACAUCUUACAGAGAUGCCUAAAUACAUGUUGGAACAUUGGUUCCAACAACACAAAUAAUAUUUAUUUUAGCAAUAAUGCAGCCAAUACAAAUACUCAACAAUAUUUUAUUUUCUGCUACACAUGAUUAAACAUAGGUGUUAUUAACAAUAUUAUGGUAGAUGCAUUUUCUAAGUCACAACAUAUAGAUAAUGCCAUGCAUUUGGAAAAUAAGCAACGGAUAUCUCAGUUCAAUCUUAAGCAAGUUUAGCAUCUUAGUUGUGUGGUGAGUCAGAAACACACUAAUAUACAACCAGACACAGUGCCUUUUGGUGGGGCGAGUCUUCUAUUAAAAAACGAACAGCCACUUCAAGUAUUUCCGCUUCCAAAUUUGCGUAUGGAUAAUAGAUAUUGGUGUGUCACCUUUUUUCCUUAAAUAUUGAACUCUGCAUUGGACCCAUAAAGGUUAUAUAAGUUUUUAUUCCCUUAUUUUUCAACAAUCAACCAAAUAUAUGGUGAGUCUAUCUCUGUGAUUGAUUCCUUCAUGGAAAAUAGGAUGCGUAUAUUGUUGAGUGCAAUUUGAAAACAUAUGUCUUAUCAUAUUGAUUAAAUGAUGUGGUAAUACAUGAUUAGAUGCAAUGUAAUACAGUAUAACACAAUUAUACAGGAAUGGCGCAUACAAAUUAAACCUUACACCCUAUUCAUAGCCGUGCCUUGUCUUAGCUUUUCUGGUCUUAACGUGCAUUACAUGCAGGGCCGUUCAUGAGAAUUCGGAGGCUCGGCUUUGAGAAUGAAAAAUUCAUUAAAGAAAGAAGAAAAAAGGAACAUAAAAAUUAAGUAAUGGGUGUUGAACCCAUGACCUAGAUAGUGCAAACUCCCAUUCAUUCCGCUCAGCUAUAUUUGCUUAUCCAAUUUUUUGAUCACGCCGCUUCUAUAUAUUAUUUAUUUACAUGCAGCAUAUAUAAAAAAAUAAAAUAAAAAUUGGGCCUCCAAAAUUUGGAGGUUCAGCGCAGUAGAGCUGUUUGCACCCCCUCAAGGCCGGCCCUGAUUACAUGUACAACAUUGACGACUCUUUAAAUCUAUUAGUCAUUCUUUAACGUUUGUACAAAGUCAUAAGUCACUUUACAGCGUCAAAUAUUAUUGUCAAUUUGUGCAUCAUGUAUGAGAAUAAUUUCCCAACAUCUUGGAAAAGUACCACAAACUUGUUGAAUGUUAACUUUACUCUAAAUUUUAUACAUAUGUGCUUAACUUGUUCAAUGUUAAGUCUACAAACUUCAAGAGGACUUUAAAGUAGAAUUGCUAGGAAACAUAUUUGAAAGAGAAUAAAGGACAUUAACUGCCGUUUGGUUCAAGUUAUGAGAUAUAAAAAUCAUGUGUUUGGCGUUUGGCAUUUUCGAAAGUACUAUUUGCAGAAAAUUUACUCCUCCAUAAGAAUAAUUAAUGGUAAUUGACCAAAAUGUUCCUGGAAAAUAAUUAACUCUAGUAAUUUCUCUACCAAUUUCUAUGUGUGAUUGUAUAGCCAGAGUGGUUACCAUAUUCCAGCAACUAUUAGGUAGUUUGGCAGUAAAUCAUCAUCGCAGUCAACUAUUAUUAAUGAUGAUGAUAAGGUUUUUUAAAGUGAAGGUUAUUCCAGCGGAUAAGUAAUGUGUUGAUUAAACAAAACACUUUUUCUAAAUGGGAAUAUAUAUCUCAGUCUUAUCCAAACAAAGGAGUUCAAUAUUGCAUGAAUCAAUAUCUCAGUCUUAUCCAAAAAAAAAAACGAUCUUUAUCAACAAUAAAAAUAGCUUCCUUAAGAAAAGAAAAUUCAAUUAAUGAUCUUUCAUGGUAAUUAAUGUCUUACAAGUCUCGUACGCUUAGCUCAACUGACAAAGAUAAUGCAUAGUAUCAAGGUUUGGGGUUCGAAUCCUAAACACCAUAAAAAAAAAUAAUAUCCAUCAAACUAGAAGGGCAAUUUGAUAUAUAUUUAAGUUUUUAUUUUUAUUUUAUAAAAAUAUGAUAUAUUUGUCCCGUAAGCAUUCAAUCGUUAACUAGAAGGACAAUAUUAUAUAGAGGUUGAAAAACCGCGUACUCUUCACUUAUUCACAUUUAAAUGUGAGUCAUUUUUUCUUUUACAAAAAAUGUGUGAGUCCUAUCCAUAAGGUAGUUGACCAAUUUUUUAUAUAUAUAUUUUUGAGAGGAUAUAUUUAUAUUAAUUCAUCAUCAAGAUUCGAGUCAAAUUUUUAAUAUACUAUCAUCAAUUUUUUUAGGAUAUUAUGACCAAAUUAUAUAUAUAUAUAUAUAUAUAUAUAUAUAUUUUUUUUUUUUUUCUUCCAAAAAGCUAAAAUAAAAUAUAUUAAAAAUCCUCCUCAUUAUGUACCAGAUGUGUCUAAAGAUAAUUAAUAUAAAGAGUCAAAAUAAUAAAGAUGAUGAAAGUAAGAAUAACUAUUACAAAGUUGUGGUGUAUCAUAAACAAAGUGAAAAAUUAAAUUGUUGCGCAUGACACCUAAAAUCUGCAGGAACAACCGUAAACAUGUCCAACCAGCGAUGAACGAGAUUCUAAAUACUACAAAAAAAAAUGUCAAACUCCCAGUAAAGAUGAUUAAACAUUUCCUCUUUGCCGCAACCGCAUAAGCACUAAACCAAGUUGGACAAAAUUACUCCUCUCCGCACUAAAUUGUCCUUUGUAUGAAUUCUCUUGUUAAAUGUUCGCCAUACACACACUGAUUUACUUCAAACUACAUAUGAAUAAAUCUCAUUAGGAAGCUGAUCUGCACCCAUAAGAAUAUAUGAUAGACAUCUUUUACUGAGUAUUCUUCAAUAGGGUCCUGUUUCCAAAAUCAUUUGUCAUUAAUAUCAACCUGCAAAAUAAAUACCACCAAGCAGUUUAGUAAAAUCUACCACCGCGCGAACAACCUACUUCUCCACCGCCACCCCUCCUCGUCGACCUCCCAACCUGGCCUCCUCAUAUCAGCAACAGUAACAUUAGGUUCCACACUUAGCUCAAACAGACGCGAAAAUCCUAUCCCGCAUUACCCCACCAUCUAACCACAUAUCACUUCAAAAGGUAGAAUUUUCACCAUUUUCAACUCUACAACCCACCCAUCUCUAAAUCAACAUGUGUCACUGCCGCUCUCUCCCUCACAAAUAUCACACACAUUUUUCUACCACACCGAAAAUAAUUUACCCCUUCCAUUAACCCGGCCUCCCUCCAACCCGUAUUUCUCAAAAAUGCUAAAUUAAACUCCUUGAUCCUCCUGUCCUUAAAACCUCUAUACCCUCCUUACUAGAACACACCUUGUCCCAAUUUAUCUAGUGAAUUUUGCAAGCUUCCUCACCCCUUCCCCCCCACCCAUUUAAAAAGACAUUCAAUGAAAGAUAUGCUACAUGUGGGAGCUUUGAAGAAGGAAAGAAAAUAAACUAGUAAUGAUGACAAGAAAGAUUUGAUGAGCACAAGACAACUGACCAUGGAUAGGCUUUUACUCAUUUAUUACGCACAUUCUCAAUUAACCGAAUCCUAAAUAACAGACGCCUCGGGUCCUCACCAAUGUGAGGCCCUAAGUACACAAACGAAAUAUGACUAAUCUUAAAAUUAAAAACAACAUGAGCUUCUACAAACCAAAAAUCAAAAACAUUCACACCAACCAAUAUGCUUUUGCGAAAAUUCACCUUCAAACCUGAAACGAGUUAAACAGUAUCAAAGUUGCCUUUUUAAUGUCUGAAUAUUUCCCCAAUUCUUUUCUCCUAAGAUCAAACUUAUCAUCACCAAAACUGAAGGAAACAAGAGAGAGAAGCUCUUUUCUCUCUUCACCCUCUCCUUCACUUCCGACCUACCACCACCUCCACUCCGUCUCUCUCUCUCUUCUCCUUCAACAUCCAAACAUUACUACCCUCAUGUAGCUGCACGCGUCGGUGGUGCGAUUGGCGGAAGCUCCAUCGCGUCACCACCUCAACACCCCUUUUGGAUUGUUACUGCCGGUGAUUCCUCUGUCAACGAUAUGUUUUCGUUCUUGGAUCUGGGCUUUCCGUUUUUGGUGGUUUCAAACGGACGUGGUUGGCUGUUAACCACCGUCGUCGUCGUGUUUUAGUUGUUCUACCGUCGUGUUUUCUGUUGUAUUUUUUGGAUCUAUUUUAGUGGUUUCACUGUUGGUUUUGGUAAGACAUAUUUGUGUGGUGUGCUCCAUAAUCCGGAUCUGGUUUUUUAGUUGGGGUUUUGCUGUACAGAUCAGUGACAGUGUGCCGCUGGAUUUGUUGGUGGUGUUCGAUCAUGACUGCUCAGUUGCCUGCAGUUCCUUCACGAUUAAUCCUCCUUCGCAACUUCCGGAUCAUUGUCGUUGUAAGGAUCGUGGUGGUAUUGUGGUUGUCUUGCCGGUGGUUGUGGUGUGUGCCGGUCUAUUCAGAUUCAGUUUGGCUUUUUGCUUGUUUGGAUGCCAGACUCCCACUUUUUUCGAGAUUGCCGUGUUUUGGUGGUGCGUGUGGUGGUUAGUGGUGGUGGUUAUGGGUGUUUUGUGUUUGGAUUCUAGGCAUUUUUUGGGUGAUUGGUGUUAGGGUGGUGAUGUUUUAGAGGCUUUUAGACAUGUUUGUAGGGAAUGGUGGUGUCGUGCUGCUGCCUUUGGAGAUGUUCAAGUGGUGGUGAUGGAGGAUGAUUUUGUGGCUUGUUUUUUUGGUUUGUUUGUGUAUGUUGGUUCAAUUUGUGCUAUUGUUCCACCUUGUCUCUGUCUUACGAAUUUGUCAUCUGGAUAAUGAUGGGCUGAUCGCUUUUGCUUCGAGAUUAGAAGUUAGAGUCUAGCUGUCAAGUUGUUGGAUAAGUUGAGGUGUAUGCUCUGGUGGUUCGAGAGUUUAGGAGUCUGGUGGGCCGAUCACUUUUGAUUCGAGAUCAGGAGCCAACUUUUUGACUUAGGUCUUUUUAGGUUUAUUUUGGUGUCUUCUCCGAUUGACUAGAAGUUGAUUGGUGGUCGAAUCUGAACAUUUGAAACAACAAAUCAUUAUCUGGUGCUUAUUUGUUAGGGGUUUCAGCAUGUACGAUGGUGUUGAUGGUUUUCGCUGAUUGGUUUUGGUGUUGCUUUUGGGUUUGGAGAUUUGUUUUUAUUAGGGUUGAUGUUAGCCUUAGGUGGUAUUGUGUAUGUAUUGGUGUUUAUGUUGUACUUUUCUUUAGGUGUUCUGCCUAUAUACGGUACCUUUUGAUGUACUUUUGGUGUUAUACCGAUCUCUGUUCGUCUCGUGCGGAGAUCUGGUUUAUUAAUAAAUUUUGCUGUUUCAAAAAAAAAAAAAGACACACACAAACAUAAUGACUUAUUUUAUCAUAAUAACAAUAAAUUUUAAUUAUCAACUAUAAUAAUUUUUUUUAAGUAGUCUAGUGGCUAGAAAUUAAUCUUUUAUUGGGUGAAUAAAUGGGGUCUUCGAGGUUUAAACUCCAACGUCUGCAUAUAUUAUGCAGCGUCCCUACCAAUUGAGUUAAGUUCACGAGAACAAAUUAAAUUCCUUUCUAAAUUUCUAUAAUGAAAAUAUUAAAUUUUUCCUUAUAAUUCUUUAAAAUUAUGUAAAUUGGUCCUUAUAAAUUUUCUAAAAAUUGUAAAUUAAAUCCUUUAAAUUUAAAAAAAAUUUAAAUUGCUCCUCUUGUUUUAUAUCUUUAAAAAUUUGUAAAUUGGUCCUGAAAUUUUAAAAUAUUUAGAAUCCGUCCCUAUUUUUCAUAAAUUUUAUAAAAACAACAGAACAAAGUUUAACAAUGAAGAAUUGUUUUACUCCACCGAUACAAAAAUAAUUAGAAAUGAAAGAAAUUCAAUUAAAGCAUUUGAAUUGUCUAAAAUUUUCAUUUUUAGGUUAUGAUUCUGUAACUUAGGAACAACUGCAUGAGUUGAGCAAAGACUAUGUUAUGUCAUGAGUUGAGCAAAGACUAUGUUAUGUCAUGAGUUGAGCAAAGACUAUGUUGCCUAGUUCUAGGAACAAAACAUUGGAACCAUUGCCGGUGCCAUUGGAACCAUCGUUUCUCUUUGUAUCGAAGAAGCCUUGAACCAUUGGAGCCUUCCUCGAGUUGACUAAGCACUUGACAACUACAAGGACAAUAAUGAUGAAGGGUGAUCCUAUCUGCUUAUGUCACUCCUUCUUGUAAAGAACCCAACAAAUACUAGACAUGGUCUCUAUAUUAAGCUAUCAUGGCCGAUCGUCAAAGUGGAGGAGAAACAACGUUAGUCUCAUUUGGUCAAAGCAUUUAGUACUAAACCACAAGAUGUUAGAGUGUUAUUGGAUCUAGAUUACAAGGGAGCUUAAAAAGACUUUAUGAUUAAAAAAAAAAAAAUCAUCUGGUAUUUAAUUAAAACUUUUAUAAAAUUGUUGGCCUGUAUUUCUAAGGAUGUGUUUGGUUUGGAAGAGAAGUUGAGAAGAGAGAAUUAGGUAAGAGAGAGUAUUAAAAGAGAGAAAAAGAUGACAAAUAUAGUAUAUUUGAAUUAUUGUUUGGUAUAAAAAGAAAGAGAAAAGAGAGAAGUAUAAUUGUAUUUUAAAUUGACAAUAGUAUCCUUUAACUCGUAAAAGAUGUUUGAAUUACAACUCUCUCCCCCGUCUUAUGUUAAAAUGUACACUCCCCUCUUAUUCAAAAUAUAUUAAAAACAUUUUCACUCCCCUCCCUUAAGAGAAACUUGAAUUGCAUUCUCCUCCCCUCUUAUGUUAAAAUCUACACUUUACUCCCUCAAUUUUUUUUUUUUUUUUUUUUUUUAUAUCUAAUAAUCUAACACACUUCCAAAAAAAUAGCAUUGCGCGUCUAUUUUAAUAUAAUAAAAUUAAAAUAUGUGAAAAAUUACUAAAGACAAUAAAGCAUGGUUAUUUAAAGGUUAAUUUUAUACUCUAAAUUAUAAAAUCAAUACCAAAAUAUUUAAAUUUAAUUAUCAUUGACAUUUAAAUUAUAAAGAAAUGAAUUAAUUUUUCUUAAAUGGUGGUUCAAAUUAAUAUAUAUCAUAAAAAUAUUUAUUUAUGUUAAAAUUGAUUAAAGUGUAGUGCAUAUUUAAUUAUUAAGGGAGGUGGUUGUAAUUCAAUCAUUUUAUAAAGGAGGGGGUAUAAAUUUUAUUUUUUAAGGGAGAGGAAUGUAUAUUUUAAUACAAGAGAGGAGAGGAGUGUAAUUCAAGCAUCUUUGAGGGGAUGUGAGUGUAAUGUACUCUUUAAUUUUUGUCUUUUAUGAGGCUUAUAAUGGAAAACCAUGGGCCGGAGUUCUUUCUCCACUCUUUUGCUCCAUCAACGGAGAAAUUGAUUUUUAUGUGGAACCCAUCUACUUUUAGCCUUUCUCUCUUGUAUUUUGCUCUUGCUCCAAACACAAUGGCUUUACUCUCUCCCCCCUAUUUUCCUCUCACAUUGCUCUUUCCUCUAUCUCUCUUGUUCCAAACACACCAUAAGUGUUUGUUUUCGACAUGAUAUAGUAUUUGUCGAAAGAAGUUUUUCUUCAGAUAUAGACUUAAUAAAUGCAUUCGACAAGGUUUGAUGAAAAUUAACAUUUUCAAGUCUUUUGAGUUCGACUAGAAGGAAUCCAAAUACUGUUUGAAGAGGCAAGAUCAAAGGUCCAGGCACGUGGAAAGUAAAUCAAGUCUGUCGAAAACAUAUGGUUUAGGACCAUUGGUUUGUUAGUUAUUUUUCUUAUGUAUAGCUUUUCAUAACAAAAAAGGGUCAUGAAUUAUUAUCAGAGUUCUCAUACUCGAAUCAUCCAGCAUAGAGAGAAAAGAGUAACACAAAAUGUAUGUAACAUGAGUUUUUAGUUGUAUAUUCUGUGGAGUGGAUUUCUUUUUAGAGUUUUUAGUUAAACAUAAAAAUACAACACUGAUUCAAUAAUCUCACAUUUUGAUUAGAAUAAGGUAACUUGUGAGACUUUGAGACUCUCUGCAAUUUAUUUUAGUUGUCUCUCUAAAGAUACCAUAUGCAUUGGCUCUCAUUAUUAUUUUUAUUUCCUUUCAGUUUUUUCUUAUUCUAUUUUGACAUUUUUGACGUUUAAAUCAUAUCCUCUCAUUUUAUUUCACGGGAAAUGUUAAACAGUUCCCUUAUAACAUUUGUUAAAGAAACAAAACUAGAAAUUUUAUUUAAAAAAUGGUGUAUUCAACCUAAGUCAUCUUUUGAAAAGUUUAAAAUUUAAGGUUAAUUAAGUAAAUGGUCUCUAUAAAUAUUCAUAAUUUUAUUUUUAGUCCUUAUAAAAUAAAAUCGCACUUUUUAGUCCUUGUAAAAAAUUUAUUCAACAUUUUUUGUCCCUGUAAAAUUUUCCAUCAACAUUUUUAGUCCUUAUAAAAAUUUUACGUCCGCAUUUUCGAUCCUUAAAAUGUUAAAGAAAAAUGUCACAGAAACUAAAAAGUGUGAUUUUAUUUUGUAGGGGACUAAAAACAAAAUUCUGAAUAUUUAUAAGAACCGUUUACUUAAUUAAUCUUAAAAUUUAUAAUUUUCAAUGCAAAGUUUACAUUUUUUGUAUGCUUAACUAGUAAGUAUCUUAGACACUUGUUAGCAUCACAUUUAUUUUAUUUUGAUGUUUUUUUUUUUUUUUCCGGUUCUCUUCUUAUGUAUUGUUUUGUCCAAGUUCAAUGUUUUAUGUUCAACGAUUUUUACAUUCACUUCCUCAAAAAAAUAAAAUUACAUUCACAUUGCUCUCGUUUUAUUGUCGACGCCUAUAUAUGGUGGAAAUGGCUUGGUAUUAGAAUAAAAAAAAAUGGCUUUGGUGACUAAUGUUACACGUCAACAUAAAUAAACUCAAUUUUUAAUGGCUGAAAGUUACCAAGUUCUUUUCUUUCAGCCCAAGCAAAGCAACGUGUUACCGUGUCACGCAAUGCGGCGGAAAGAGACAAGAAGAAAACAAAAGAUAAUUCUCUUCCUGGCCACUACUAUAUAAAUACAUUACAUGCAUGUUAUGUUAGUUUCAAUUUCAUAUCAUCGUACUACAGCAAUACUUCUGAGUUUCAAUUUCACUUCUUGCAUAGCUAAAGAACACGGACAGGCAAAAACAUAAUCACCAAAUCAAAGGUUCGAUAUAUUGUACUGUGGAAAUUAUUGUUCUAUUUGACUUUUUUUCUUUUCUUUUGAAAGAGUUCUAUAUAUUUGGGGAAAUUUACGAAGUGUAUUAUGACAAGUUUAUAUGCUAAGCCAUGUUUUCAGCAAAUUCGAUAAACUCUUAUGAAAACAUAUCAUAUACAGGUUGCCUUAAGCAUGGACGGAAGAGGCGAGUGCCCAUGACAUUGUUUUGAUAAGAGCACCAAUAUUAUUUUUGUUUUAUUUAAUAGUUAACAAUAUAUACGUAUAUUAUUUUAAUUCACUUUGAUUAAUUUUAUUGAAAAUAUUUUUAUAAAAACAUUGAUUAUGAAUAAGGGGUUGUAUUGGAUUUUUUUUUUUGAAGUUGGAUUUUUUUUGAAGAAAUCAAAAUUAUAUAUAACAAAAAAAAUUGGCUACCUUUCCGGCACAAGGUUUAUCAAAGAAAGGACAAUUUUUAUUUAAAAAAGUCUUAAGGAUUUUAAAAGACUCUGCAGAAUUUUAAUGACUUUGAUGGUUUUAAAAGACUAUCAAGAUUUACAAUUUGAAUUUCAAUGAAUUUAACUCAUGGUCACCUUAACUCAUAAGAUUUUAAAGAAUUUGAAAUGAUUUUAUGGAUUUCAAAUUUUUUUACGAAUUUUAAUUAAGCACUCAUUGCAAAAAUAAUGAUCAUAACACACUCUAUUUUACAAUAUUCUCAAUAGAGACUCUUUUAUUAAUAAAGAUAUUUUAAUAAUUAAAAUGACACAACUUUAUUGAUUCGCUAAGAACAUAAAUAAUCUUAAGAUUGUCCUGAUAAGUGAUAAUAUCAUCAAUUAUAGAGUAAAAUUAUACUCCCCUCCCCUUAAUGUUGCUUGAAUUACACUUCACUCCUCUCUUAUGUUAAAAUAUACAUUACCCUCUCAUCUUAUUCAAAACAUAUUAGAAAAUAUCUCACUCCUCUCCCCUAAGAGAAACAUGAAUUACAUUCUCCGCCCCUCUUAUGUUAAAAUCUACACUUUACUCCCUCAUUAUAUAUUUUUUAUUUCUAAUAAUAUUGCAAAUUAAUAAUAAUCUAACACACUUCGAAAAAAUAUAGUAUUGCAGGUCUAUUUUAAUAUAAUCAAAAUUUGAAUACAUAUUUUUUCUAUUUUUUAUUCAAAAUUUCAUUAACAUAAAGUUUUAACCCCUAUUAUAAAAUAUGAAACAACCCAAAAUAAAAUUAAAAUAUAUAAAAAAUUCCUAAAGACAAUAAAUUAUGGUUAUUUAAAAGUUGGUUUUAUGCUCUAAAUUAUAAAAUUAAUAGCAAAAUAUUUAAAUUUACUUAUCAUUGACAUUUAAAUUAUACAUAAAUGAAUUUAUUUUUCUUAAAUGGUGGUUCAAAAUUAGUAUAUAUCAUAAAAAUAUUUAUUUAUGUUAAAAUAGAUUAAAGUGUAGUGUAUAUUUAUUUAUUAAGGGAUGGAGUUGUAAUUCAAGCAUCUUACAUGGAGAGGAGUAUAAAUUUUAAUUUUCAAGGGAGGAGAUUGUAUAUUUUAACAUAAGAGGGAGUGUGUGUAAUUUAAACAUCUUUUAAGGGGAAGGAGUGUAAUUUACUCUAACUUAUAUUCAAAAGAGAUUGCCUUUAUUUUAUCUUUUACUUCCGGAGUAAUUUUUACGUAAAACACUUAUUUGAUAUGUAUUUAUGUUAUGUUAUGUUAUGAACGCUUAUGCAACCAUGAGUUUUUGUGCCGUUCAUAACUUGUUUUCCUUGUUUGUUUGAAUCAGAGGAAGGAAUCAAAUUCAUGAGUAGCGCCACGACACAUAUUAUUACCCUUACAACAAGAUUUAAUGAUGUCUUGAACAAAAUAUCUGAAAUAGUUGAAACAGCACGAAAGAACCAAAGUUCAAGGCUAUUGUUUAGGUUAAUCUUAAAGGAUUUAUCUCCCGUUGUACAAGAUAUAAAGCAUUACAAUGAACACUUGGAUCAACCCAGAGAAGAAAUAAAUAGUUUGAUAGAAGAAAGUGCAUGCAAAUCUUCUUUUGAGAAUGAUUCCUACGUUGUUGAUGAGAACCAAUCUCUUAUUGUAAAUGAUGUCGAAGAGACACUUUACAAGGCCAGAGAAAUUCUUGAGCUUCUCAACCACGAAAAUCCAAAAUUCACUGUUGGGUUGGAUAUACCAUUUAGCAAGUUGAAAAUGGAGCUUCUGAGGGGUGGUAGCUCCACACUUGUGUUGACUGGUUUAGGAGGAUUGGGGAAAACCACUCUGGCUACAAAGCUUUGUUGGGAUGAAGAAGUUAAUGGUAAGUCAUAAAUCCUUUUUGCCUUAUCUCAUGCAUGUUUGGAUUAGCAGUGUGUUAGACAGAAUCAUGAAAACUUGAAAGAAAAAAUUACGCUGCCACCAUAAUUUUGCCAAAUUCAAUUUGAUUCUAAACAUGAACUUAUACAUGAAUUAUAUAUAUCAUUGCCUUAGAUGGUACUCAAUAAUAUAUGGAUGUUUUUUUAGUAAAGAAUGGAUGGAAAUAAGGACAUAAGAAUUUUUUCAUAUAAAUAUUUCUUAUGUGUAGAGCAGCUUAAAGCGGUAUUCAUGCUCGCUGAUUGUAGAUAGUUUGUCCUUAGAGAAUAUUAUGUUUAGGAGCAGUUCAUUAUUUUCCAAAUUACAUCAUAGGAAAACAUUGUAGGCAUCUUCUAUCCUCUGCAAAUGUUGAUUUAACAUAUUAAAGAAGCAUUUUUCUUUGAAUUAGAUUAAUUAACUUUCUUUUCUGUCAAGUGUUCAUUUAGUUGAGCAUAUUAAAUGUAAAAGACAUUAACUUUUUUUGUCUUACAAUCUGUCUUUGGUUUUACUAGGUAAAUUCAAGGAAAACAUUAUAUUUGUCACCUUCUCAAAAACACCCAUGCUGAAGACUAUUGUAGAGAGAAUACAUCAACAUUGUGGAUAUUCAGUGCCUGAGUUUCAAAGUGAUGAAGAUGCAGUCAAUAAGUUAGGACUUUUGUUGAAGAAAGUUGAGGGAAGUCCACUAUUGUUGGUUCUGGAUGAUGUUUGGCCAAGCUCAGAAUCUCUUGUUGAGAAACUUCAAUUCCAGAUGACAGGUUUCAAAAUUCUGGUGACUUCAAGGGUUGCAUUUCCGAGGUUUAGCACAACAUGUAUCUUAAAACCUCUUGCUCAUGAAGACGCAGUAACGCUUUUCCAUCACUAUGCUCAAAUGGAAAAAAACAGUUCAGAUAUUAUCGACAAAAAUCUUGUAGAAAAGGUACUUGUUCUUACUUUCUUACAUAUGAGCGUUAUCUAUUAUGUAGCAUCGACACACUUCAGAUUGAAGUCACAUAGAAAGACGCCUAGUUAUAAUCAUUUGAUUACUGACCAUACUCGCUUGCAAUGAAUUGCAGGUCGUUAGAAGUUGCAAUGGUUUACCGCUUACCAUUAAAGUAAUUGCUACAUCACUCAAAAAUCGGCCUCAUGACUUGUGGCAUAAGAUAGUGAAGGAACUAUCACAAGGUCAUUCAAUUCUUGAUUCUAAUACCGAAUUACUUACUCGCCUCCAAAAGAUCUUCGAUGUUUUGGAAGAUAAUCCAAAAAUCAUGGAGUGCUUCAUGGACCUAGCCUUAUUUCCCGAAGACCAUAGAAUUCCUGUCGCUGCUCUCGUUGAUAUGUGGGCAGAGCUGUAUAAACUAGAUGACAACGGAAUACAAGCAAUGGAAAUCAUCAACAAAUUAGGCAUCAUGAAUUUGGCUAAUGUCAUAAUACCAAGGUACUACGACUAUUAUUAUUAUUAUUAUAUUUUCUUCUAGGCUACUUAAAUUGUUAAAUAUCUCACAUGAAUGAUACUCUACAUAAAUCCUGUCAAAUAAUUUUUUAUCUUUUAAGUAACUAAUUAACCUCUGCUCAUUUACCAGGAAAAAUGCAAGUGACACGGACAAUAACAACUACAAUAAUCACUUCAUCAUCCUUCAUGAUAUUCUAAGAGAACUUGGAAUUUACCAAAGCACCAAGGAACCAUUUGAGCAAAGAAAAAGACUGAUUAUUGACAUGAAUAACAAUAAAAGUGGGCUCGCGGAGAAGCAGCAAGGCUUGAUGACCCGUAUAUUUUCAAAGUUUAUGAGAUUGUGUGUUAAACAAAAUCCUCAACAGCUUGCUGCCCGUAUAUUGUCGGUAUCAACUGGUUAGUAAUACUUACCUUCCUCUAAAUUUGACCAUCUAAAAAUGCUAUUGAAAAAUCUGUUGCAAUCUGUUAUUAAUUCCUUUUCUGCAAUUGAUUGCGUGAGUUUCACAUUUGCAGAUGAAACAUGUGCGUUGGAUUGGUCUCAUAUGCAACCAGCUCAGGUCGAGGUUCUGAUUUUAAAUAUUCAUACCAAGCAGUACUCAUUACCCGAGUGGAUUGCAAAAAUGAGUAAACUAAGAGUUCUGAUAAUCACAAACUACGGUUUCCAUCCUUCUAAACUGAACAACAUUGAGCUUCUCGGUUCUUUACAGAACCUGGAAAGAAUCAGACUAGAGCGAAUUUCGGUCCCUUCCUUCGGCACAUUGAAGAAUUUGAAAAAACUAUCUCUGUACAUGUGUAACACAAUACUGGCUUUUGAAAAGGGUAGCAUCCUAAUUUCAGAUGCAUUUCCAAAUCUAGAAGAAUUGAACAUUGAUUACUGCAAAGAUUUGGUGGUAUUGCAAACUGGUAUCUGUGAUAUUAUCUCAUUAAAGAAGCUCAAUGUUACUAAUUGCCACAAGCUUUCUUCACUUCCCCAAGAUAUUGGAAAAUUGGAGAAUUUGGAACUUCUAAGCCUCAGUUCAUGUACUGACUUGGAAGCUAUACCGACUUCCAUUGGAAAGCUGUUAAAUCUAAAACAUCUUGACAUUUCAAACUGCAUAAGCCUUUCAAGUUUACCUGAGGAAUUUGGUAAUUUGUGCAAUCUAAAGAAUCUGGACAUGGCAACUUGUGCAAGUAUUGAAUUGCCAUUCUCAGUUGUCAAUCUUCAGAAUUUGAAGACGAUAACCUGCGAUGAAGAGACGGCUGCUACAUGGGAAGAUUUCCAGCAUAUGCUUCACAAUAUGAAGAUAGAGGUUCUUCAUGUUGAUGUUAACUUAAAUUGGCUUCUUUGAAUGACUUUUGUAUAGCAUAUAAUUAAAAUUCUUUUGU
rnacentral:lncRNA from 1 species